UAAGGUCGCUUGAUGACCAGUUGCAUAGUUCAAAUGAUAAUCUCUUAGUAGAUUAUGAUUACUUUGAACGUCUUUCGCUCCUAGCUGACGACCUUA